rnacentral:tRNA from 1 species
GACUUAAAAUCCGUCGACUUUAGAAAUCGUGA